UACAGAGGUCUCAAGCGUUGUUCGGAUUCAUUGGGCGUAAAGGGUGCGUAGGCGGCGCGGUAAGUCGGGUGUGAAAUCUCGGAGCUUAACUCCGAAACUGCAUUCGAUACUGCCGUGCUUGAGGACUGGAGAGGAGACUGGAAUUUACGGUGUAGCGGUGAAAUGCGUAGAUAUCGUAAGGAAGACCAGUGGCGAAGGCGGGUCUCUGGACAGUUCCUGACGCUGAGGCACGAAGGUCAGGGGGAGCAAACGGG
rnacentral:rRNA from 1 species